rnacentral:rRNA from 1 species
GUUAAAACACUGAUUCUCAUAAGAUCACCAAAGUUAAGCAAUAUCAAACCUGGUCAGUACUUAGAUGGGUGACCACUUGGGAAUACCAGGUGCUGUAA